UACGUAGGGCGCAAGCGUUGUCCGGAAUUAUUGGGCGUAAAGAGCGUGUAGGCGGCCUGACAGGUCUGCUGUGAAAACUCGAGGCUCAACCUCGAGAUGUCGGCGGAAACCGUCUGGCUAGAGUCCGGAAGAGGAGAGUGGAAUUCCUGGUGUAGCGGUGAAAUGCGCAGAUAUCAGGAAGAACACCUAUGGCGAAGGCAGCUCUCUGGGACGGUACUGACGCUGAGACGCGAAAGCGUGGGGAGCGAACAGG
rnacentral:rRNA from 1 species